GACGAACGCUGGCGGCGUGCUUAACACAUGCAAGUCGAACGGAAAGGCCCUGCUUUUGUGGGGUGCUCGAGUGGCGAACGGGUGAGUAACACGUGAGUAACCUGCCCUUGACUUUGGGAUAACUUCAGGAAACUGGGGCUAAUACCGGAUAGGAGCUCCUGCUGCAUGGUGGGGGUUGGAAAGUUUCGGCGGUUGGGGAUGGACUCGCGGCUUAUCAGCUUGUUGGUGGGGUAGUGGCUUACCAAGGCUUUGACGGGUAGCCGGCCUGAGAGGGUGACCGGCCGCUCUAGGACCGAGAGACGGCCCCGACUCCUACGGGAGCCAGCAGUGGGGACUAUUGCACAAUGGGCUGAGGCCUGAUGUAGCAACGCCGCGUGCGGGAUGACGGCUUUCGGGUUGUAAACCGCUUUCGCCUGUGACGAUGCGUCAGUGACGGUAAUGUGUCAAGAAGCACCGGCUAACUACGUG
rnacentral:rRNA from 1 species